rnacentral:rRNA from 1 species
UACGUAGGGUGCAAGCGUUGUCCGGAAUUAUUGGGCGUAAAGGGCUCGUAGGCGGUUUGUCGCGUCGGGAGUGAAAACUCAGGGCUUAACCCUGAGCCUGCUUCCGAUACGGGCAGACUAGAGGUAUGCAGGGGAGAAUGGAAUUCCUGGUGUAGCGGUGAAAUGCGCAGAUAUCAGGAGGAACACCAAUGGCGAAGGCAGCUCGCUGGGACGGUACUGACGCUGAGACGCGAAAGCGUGGGGGAGCGAACAGG